rnacentral:rRNA from 1 species
CCUACGGGUGGCAGCAGUGAGGAAUAUUGGUCAAUGGCCGAGAGGCUGAACCAGCCAAGUCGCGUGAGGGAUGACUGUCCUAUGGAUUGUAAACCUCUUUUAUCCGGGAGUAAAGUCACCCACGUGUGGGUGUUGGAGAGUACCGUAAGAAAAAGCAUCGGCUAACUCCGUGCCAGCAGCCGCGGUAAUACGGAGGAUGCGAGCGUUAUCCGGAUUUAUUGGGUUUAAAGGGAGCGUAGGCGGGUUAUCAAGUCGGCGGUAAAAUCGUGGGGCUCAACCCCAACCAGCCGUUGAAACUGGUGAUCUUGAGUGGGCGAGAAGUAUGCGGAAUGCGUGGUGUAGCGGUGAAAUGCUUAGAUAUCACGAAGAACUCCGAUUGCGAAGGCAGCAUGCCGGAGCGCAACUGACGCUGAAGCACGAAAGCGUGGGUAUCGAACAGGAUUAGAUACCCUGGUAGUC